GAUGAACGCUGGCGGCGUGCUUAACACAUGCAAGUCGAACGGAAAGGCCCAAGCUUGCUUGGGUACUCGAGUGGCGAACGGGUGAGUAACACGUGGGUGAUCUGCCCUGCACUUCGGGAUAAGCCUGGGAAACUGGGUCUAAUACCGGAUAGGACCACUUCUUGGAUGUUGUGGUGGAAAGUUUUUCGGUGUGGGAUGAGCUCGCGGCCUAUCAGCUUGUUGGUGGGGUAAUGGCCUACCAAGGCGUCGACGGGUAGCCGGACUGAGAGGGUGUACGGCCACAUUGGGACUGAGAGACGGCCCAGACUCCUACGGGAGGCAGCAGUGGGGAAGAUUGCACAAUGGGCGCAAGCCUGAUGCAGCGACGCCGCGUGGGGGAUGACGGCCUUCGGGUUGUAAACUCCUUUCGCUAGGGACGAAGCGUUUUGUGACGGUACCUGGAGAAGAAGCACCGGCUAACUACGUG
rnacentral:rRNA from 1 species